GAGUUUGAUCCUGGCUCAGGACGAACGCUGGCGGCGUGCUUAACACAUGCAAGUCGAGCGAUGAAGCUUCCUUCGGGAGGUGGAUUAGCGGCGGACGGGUGAGUAACACGUGGGUAACCUGCCUCAAAGUGGGGGAUAGCCUUCCGAAAGGAAGAUUAAUACCGCAUAAUAUAGAGAAUCGCAUGAUUUUCUUAUCAAAGAUUUAUUGCUUUGAGAUGGACCCGCGGCGCAUUAGCUAGUUGGUAAGGUAACGGCUUACCAAGGCAACGAUGCGUAGCCGACCUGAGAGGGUGAUCGGCCACAUUGGAACUGAGACACGGUCCAGACUCCUACGGGAGGCAGCAGUGGGGAAUAUUGCGCAAUGGGGGAAACCCUGACGCAGCAACGCCGCGUGGGUGAUGAAGGUCUUCGGAUUGUAAAGCCCUGUUUUCUAGGACGAUAAUGACGGUACUAGAGGAGGAAGCCACGGCUAACUACGUGCCAGCAGCCGCGGUAAUACGUAGGUGGCGAGCGUUGUCCGGAUUUACUGGGCGUAAAGGGUGCGUAGGCGGAUGUUUAAGUGGGAUGUGAAAUCCCCGGGCUUAACCUGGGGGCUGCAUUCCAAACUGGAUAUCUAGAGUGCAGGAGAGGAAAGCGGAAUUCCUAGUGUAGCGGUGAAAUGCGUAGAGAUUAGGAAGAACACCAGUGGCGAAGGCGGCUUUCUGGACUGUAACUGACGCUGAGGCACGAAAGCGUGGGUAGCAAACAGGAUUAGAUACCCUGGUAGUCCACGCCGUAAACGAUGGAUACUAGGUGUAGGGGGUAUCAACUCCCCCUGUGCCGCAGUUAACACAAUAAGUAUCCCGCCUGGGGAGUACGGUCGCAAGAUUAAAACUCAAAGGAAUUGACGGGGGCCCGCACAAGCAGCGGAGCAUGUGGUUUAAUUCGAAGCAACGCGAAGAACCUUACCUGGACUUGACAUCCCUUGCAUAGCCUAGAGAUAGGUGAAGCCCUUCGGGGCAAGGAGACAGGUGGUGCAUGGUUGUCGUCAGCUCGUGUCGUGAGAUGUUAGGUUAAGUCCUGCAACGAGCGCAACCCUUGUUAUUAGUUGCUACCAUUAAGUUGAGCACUCUAAUGAGACUGCCUGGGUAACCAGGAGGAAGGUGGGGAUGACGUCAAAUCAUCAUGCCCCUUAUGUCCAGGGCUACACACGUGCUACAAUGGUAGGUACAAUAAGACGCAAGACCGUGAGGUGGAGCAAAACUUAUAAAACCUAUCUCAGUUCGGAUUGUAGGCUGCAACUCGCCUACAUGAAGCUGGAGUUGCUAGUAAUCGCGAAUCAGAAUGUCGCGGUGAAUACGUUCCCGGGCCUUGUACACACCGCCCGUCACACCAUGAGAGCUGGUAACACCCGAAGUCCGUGAGGUAACCGUAAGGAACCAGCGGCCGAAGGUGGGAUUAGUGAUUGGGGUGAAGUCGUAACAAGGUAGCCGUAGGAGAACCUGCGGCUGGAUCACC
rnacentral:rRNA from 1 species